AGCCAUGAUGUGGGAAAGAGUUCAAAAUAUCCUUGAAUCUUUCCUAGCAUUGAUAGAAGGUCUCUUCUACUUUCUGAGAAUAAUUCAUUAUUUCUCUCCUUAGGGU